UGUGGGUACCAGAUUGAUUCGGCUGCCAGAUCGACUCGGGGUCCUGGAUGCACAAUAAUAACGCACAUUCUGUAAACGCUGUCUUUUAAAUGCGCAUGCGCGUUUCAUUCAUUCAUUUCCAUGGUUAUUCCGCUCUAUAGAAAUGGAAGCGUUUUAUACCGAAGUAAAGCAUUACCUGAAGCUAAACCAACAGCCUAAUCACCGCCCUAAACUCAGAAGGCAGGACAUUGGACAAGUUCAUGGCAUCCUACCACUGGUCAACCUUGCGAGAGGAUGAGAACAAAUCGUUGAGUUUUGGUACUUUUUGAAAGGUUGAUGAAUGUCCCCGCUGUCAGCAUCUUGAGGUGAUGAAGACUGUGGCACCUGUCCUUCAUCCAAUUGAUGCCAGCAAGGCAUGGAGUGACCUUGCGGUUGACCUAAUUGGUCCCCUUCCCACUACCGCAUAGGGCAAAAGGUAGCUUUUAUGCAUGGCUGAUGUAUGUGUAACCACAUUUAAAGAUAGUCAAUGCAAAAUAGUUGGUUUAAAGGAAAACUAGUGACAGGGAUGGAUUGUCUAUUAACGAUUAUUACUACAUUUACAACAUUUUAUGUUGCAGAUUUAUUCUGACAGCAACAGACCUUUUCACAAAGUGGGUUUUGGCAAAACCCCUGUGCACCAAAACAGCUGUUGAGGUGUCCAGAAAAAUUUUGAACAUUCUCCUCGACUUCGGUCUGGUCGACGUAGUAGGGUAAUCCAACUUCCGGUCGUGUCUAGCAGCAACAACAAUGGCAGCCUCCAUUCGCCGUUGUUCUUGUAGUGUACCGUGUUGCUCUACAUCAGGACGUAGACAGCCAUACCUCAGCUUCCACGCUUUCCCGAAGGACGAAAUAAAUCUUGGGUGAGAUUAAUUUUUGCCCAGUACUGUCCUAACAUGCGAGUGAUUCUAGACUGCACAGAAAUCAGGUGUGAGGCACCCUAAUCACUCACCCUCCAGUCUGAAACAUUCUCCCACUACAAGAAUACCAACACCUUCAAAGGUCUGAUUGGCAUUGCUCCAUGUGGAGUUAUCACCUUCAUUUCUAAGCUGUACACUGGUUCCAUAUCAGACAGAGAAAUCACACAGCAGUCAGGAAUCCUGAGUUCAGCCAGGAGAUGCAUCCAUGGCUGACAAAGGCUUUGUCAUCAAGGUGCUUUCUGAAGUUGGGGCUACCUUCAUAAUGCCGCCAUUUAAAAGAGGCGCCAGGUUCACCAGAGGACACCGAAAAAACCCAGAGUAUCGCCCGACUUAUGCCGCUUUUCCACUGCAUGGUACCAGCUCGACACGACUCGACUCAGCUCGCAUUUUUUGCGUUUCCACCGCGAAAACAUGGUACCUGGUACCUGAAGUGGCUGCUUUUUCUAGUACCGCCUCGCUCUAGGUUCCAAGCGAGCUGAGCCGAUGCUAAAAGGUGACGUCGGCAGACGGCCGGCCACUGAUUGGCCAGAGAGUGUGACGAAGUUACGAGAGCGACAUGGCAACCAUGCUGGUAACAGCCAUAGCAGCGCCGCAGCCAACAUAUAUUCCACUUCUUCAACUUCUUCAACAUGCCAGCUAAUAAUAGUAAUGUUAUCGAUGUCCUCCAUUGUUGUUAUGUGGGUUCUGUCCAUGUGUGGGUUGCGUAGGUCUUGUUUGCGUCGCAUACAAAAAUACGUCACGGCCCUUUCGCGCAGCCGACCCCGCCCACGUCCAGGAGGUACUAUUUGCGGUGGAAAAGCACCCGUGGUGCUACCGUGUCGAGUCGUGUCGUGUCGAGUCGUGUCGAGUCGAGCUACAUGUGCGGUGGAAAAGCGGCAUCAGAAUCUUGGUGGAGAGGGCCAUCAGAAGGGUCAAAGAAUAUCAUAUCUGGGACACGACCAUUCCUCUGACUCUUUCAGGCUCUGUCAAUCAGCUGUGGGUAAAUUGUUGCUUGAUUUUUAACCAUCAAGGUCCUUUAGAUGUGAAGGGCGAUGUCCCAGUGUUACACAUUAAAACACAUUUUCAAACGUUUAAUGUUCUUUGUUUAUAUUUAACAGAAAGAAAUUAAAAUGAAAUUGUGUGUG